rnacentral:tRNA from 1 species
GGUGAGGUGGCCGAGUGGAUAAGGUGAAUGACUGCAGAUCCUUUGUGCUCUGCAUGCGUAGGUUUGAAUCCCAUCCUUGUUG